rnacentral:rRNA from 1 species
UUCCGGUUGAUCCUGCCGGACCCGACUGCUAUUUGGGUGAGGAUAAGCCAUGCGAGUUGAAUGGGAUACCCAAAAAUCCCAUGGCAAACUGCUCAGUAACACAUGAUCAACUUACCCUAUAGAGGAAAAUAACCUCGGGAAACUGAGGAUAAUGUUCCAUAGUUGAAUCGGCUUGGAAAAGUUUUUCAAUAAAAGGGAUAAGGAAAAUGGUCCUUAUCUGCUAUAGGAUAGGAUCGUGCUCGAUUAUGGUUGUUGGUGAGGUAAAGGCUCACCAAGCCGAUAAUCGAUAGGGGCCGUGAGAGCGGGAGCCCCGAGAUGGGUACUGAGACAACGACCCAGGCCUUACGAGGCGCAGCAGGCGCGAAACCUCCGCAAUACACGAAAGUGUGACGGGGUUACCCAAAGUGUUCUAUUUAGAACUGUGGUAGGUGAGUAAUGUCCCCUACUAGAAAGGAGAGGGCAAGGCUGGUGCCAGCCGCCGCGGUAAAACCAGCUCUUCAAGUGGUCGGGAUAAUUAUUGGGCUUAAAGUGUCCGUAGCCGGUUUAGUAAGUUCCUGGUAAAAUCGGGUAGCUUAACUAUCUGUAUGCUAGGAAUACUGCUAAACUAGAGGGCGGGAGAGGUCUGAGGUACUACAGGGGUAGGGGUGAAAUCUUAUAAUCCUUGUAGGACCACCAGUGGCGAAGGCGUCAGACUGGAACGUGCCUGACGGUGAGGGACGAAAGCCAGGGGAGCGAACCGGAUUAGAUACCCGGGUAGUCCUGGCCGUAAACGAUGCAUACUAGUGAUGGUAUGGCCAUGAGCCGUGUCAGUGCCGUAGGGAAACCGUUAAGUAUGCCGCCUGGGAAGUACGGUCGCAAGGCUAAAACUUAAAGGAAUUGGCGGGGGAGCACCCACAAGGGGUGAAGCCUGCGGUUCAAUUGGAAUCAACGCCGG